GAUGAGCCUGCGUCCUAUCAGGUAGUUGGUGAGGUAACGGCUCACCAAGCCUACGACGGGUAGCUGGUCUGAGAGGAUGAUCAGCCACACUGGAACUGAGACACGGUCCAGACUCCUACGGGAGGCAGCAGUGAGGAAUAUUGCUCAAUGCCCGCAAGGGUGAAGCAGCGACGCCGCGUGAGGGAUGAAGGCCCUAUGGGUUGUAAACCUCUGUAGGGAGGGAAGAAAAUCCCGUUUUACGGGACUGACGGUACCUCCAAAGUAAGCCCCGGCCAACUACGUGCCAGCAGC
rnacentral:rRNA from 1 species